rnacentral:rRNA from 1 species
AACGAACGCUGGCGGCAGGCUUAACACAUGCAAGUCGAACGCAUCCUUCGGGGUGAGUGGCAGACGGGUGAGUAACGCGUGGGAACGUGCCCUUCAGUUCGGGAUAACCCAGGGAAACUUGGGCUAAUACCGGAUACGUGCGAGAGCAGAAAGAUUUAUCGCUGAAGGAUCGGCCCGCGUCUGAUUAGCUAGUUGGUGGGGUAAUGGCCCACCAAGGCGACGAUCAGUAGCUGGUCUGAGAGGAUGAUCAGCGACAUUGGGACUGAGACACGGCCCACACUCCUACGGGAGGGAGCAGUGGGGAAUAUUGGACAAUGGGCGCAAGCCUGUUCCAUCCAUGCCGCGUGAGUGAUGAAGGCCUUAGGGUUGUAAAGCUCUUUCGUCCGGGACGAUAAUGACGGUACCGGAAGAAGAAGCCCCGGCUAACUUCGUGCCAGCAGCCGCCGUAA